UCACACUCUCCGUCUCCAUUUCCUUUGGUUCAAAGCUGUCGACCCUUGCUUUCCUUAAACCAUCACGAUAAACCUCACACACGCCUCUCCAUUUCCUUCAAACACCACCGGCCAUCGGAUGCACGAACUCCACCCUCUACAAGCGCCGCCGACCAUCUCCAUUUGAUAUAAGAGGAUCGAACUCCACCCUCAAGUAAUCCAAAUGCUGGCUACCAUAGGAGUUUCGCGUUCCACCGAUCAUUCAAGGAUCCAAUCAGCUAUCUGUUCCCUGUGUUCCUCGACCGACGUCGACAAUGUUUCGUUAAGUUAGGAUUUUUUUUCAUUUUCAGUUUUUCAAUUUUCUCCUCCCUAUUACAGUAUGCAUUGAAAUACGACAUAUAACAUCGCACUAAAUUUAAGUUGGUACCAUGAAACUAUUCUUCCAAGCUAUCUGAUACCAUUAAUGUGGCUAUGUUUUUUUGCUUUUGUUUGUUCUUUAGGUGUGCAGUUGAAAGCUGAGAUUAAGGGUAAUAAACUGACAGUAUUUUAAUUCUACUAAAUCUUUUACUCAUGUUGUAGGCUUGAGUGUAUUAUAGAAACUAGAACACAAUGGUUGUGGCUAUGAUUUAUAGAAGUUGAGCACAUUCCACAUUGAUGGGCUUGUUUCAUUGUAUAAAUGUAUAAAUGUGAGGAAAGAUUAUAUUUUCUCACUUGAUUAAAGCUUUAGAGGUUUAGAGAGCUCAUGAACACCAACAACUUUUAUUUUAAUAAAUUUGAACAGUUAACACAUAUAUUACUUCUUCUCCAGUAAUUUAUCGUUUCUAAUUUAAAAGGCUUCUCCCAACUAUAUUUUCCUUCAUUUUAUAUACUUGUGCACACACCCACCCACCAACAUAUGAUAUCAAAGCUUCAAUCUCUCCUAGCGCCCAUAUACAUUGCAUGACAUUAAAGUUACCCGCACCUAUUACAGGGCUUGUUAACAUUUUUGGUGAAUGAGAAUGGUUUCAACGGUGAGAGACUGAGAAAGGAAUGUAAAUAUACAGAACUUCUGGUUAUAUGUGUUUGGCAUGGCGUUCAAUACUAUUGCCAGGAUGAUUCAAGAUUUUGAUGCAAUCGUGAAUAAGUUUUUCCAGAAUCCAUUGAAGCAGCGAAGCUAUAUUUGCGGCAAUUCAUUGAUGUAUAGGCAUUUUUGUAGGUUUGAUAGGAAAAAUUCUGGUUUAAAUGUAGUUAUUUAAAUAGCUUGUUCGUGACAAAUCAUAUAUGUACCAACACUUAAAGCGAUAUUAUAAAGUGUAUGUUUCUUUAUAUUAAAGCGUUUACCGUUUCUUUCCA